ensembl:lncRNA
UCAAGAAAUACUUCAAGUCGGACAACAAGGAGUUCUUCCACUUGCUCCACGACGUAAAGAGUCGUUUCUCCGAGCUGCCCGGCUCUAAGGACGUACAAAUGAAAGUGAUGGAGGACUCGUACAAGCUCAUCGCUCACGUUUACCUCAAACAUCUUAUCCAAAGCAGCCGGCGCAAACUGAUGAAGAACUGGAGUCCUGAAGUCGGACUGAGAGUCGCUGAAGAUGCUGAGCUGCUGCAUGAAACCUUCUCAGAGCUGGCUCCUGGUGUCCGAGAGUGGAAUGGCAUGCUGCUGAAAGUCAAAGAGCUGUACGAGGACAAAAGCUUCGAGGCGAUGAAGAUGACAGCUGCUAGCAUACAGAAUGAAUAUCACACAUGGAGCGAGGACCUGAAGCUUCUUCCCGCACUACUAAAAUGGAAGGGUCUUUCUCGACAGAAGAUUAGGGAGGUGGAGAUAGUCCUGGAGGAUGUCUCUGACUAUCAACCCAGAUUUGUACCCGCGUGCUCGUGUUUUACCUCCUGAAGGCUGCGCUGCUCUACAAGAGGAUCAACCGCAACAAGCAAAGAAGACAGAGCUGAUUGUCCAAAAGAUCGAGAACUUUUUCAGAUGUGCUGAAUCCUGUUAAAGCCCACUCUGGUGUCACUUCUCGAAUCUAAUCUAAAGAUAUAGAAACAGACGUGUUACAGAAGGUUUUUAUAAGCUAUGACGGACUAAGUCUGUAGACAAGUAGCGGAUCAUUUAUGAGUUUGUCACUAGUUUACUUUAAGUCUUUAGUCUAAAAUGCUAUGCAUCGGCAGGCGAUGGUUUUUUCCUCUUCAGCUUUGAAGUUACUACACAAAGCUAAAAGGAACAGUGAUAGGGCACGAGCGGAAAAAAAGUCAAUCUCGAUCGAUCAUUCAACAGAUGUGGAGAAUCGGCCCUCUUCCUCCUAGACUGCAUGCAAUAUGUCUGUUUUAUUAUUAUUCUAUAGCUCUAUAGCUCGCUCUGUCAGUCGGUCGAUCAACAAAACUGUUCCCACCCUUUCCACAAUUUCUGCAUUAGGAGGCUGAAAUCUGGCAUGAAGGUCAAGUGUUUGUGAGGGUCUAUCAGAGUCUGUAUAAUAUAUGGACGUAGCCUCCGUUUCGUCACCAAUAGGUUAUUGAAAAGCCGUUUUAAAGCUCAAAAUGAGCGGCUCCGGACCGACGGUAUCUUGACACCGUCUAACUCCACCCAAAUCCAAAAAUGGGCAACGUUGGGGAAAUUGAGGCGGGCCACAGGACGCAGCUGAGCAGCUAGCGACCUGAGACGGCACCCAAAGCGACCACACUCCUAAUAAUGCGUAACAUUAAGCCUUAAUAUGAUUUAAACAGGUGAGUUAUAUAAAAAUUCACCACACGUACAGUUGUCAUGAAUAAGGGAAUUUGAUAUAGAGGAAACCGUUUUUUUUGUUCCAGGCUGUUAACUUGUUUAUUUCCGUUGUAAAGUCGGGCGUUUUAACUCGGGGGUUAAUGGGGAUUGACAGCCUCAAGUGGCCAUUCGAGGAACUGCAGUUUUUGGCACUUCCGCGUAGGCUUCACUGCUCAGCCUCGGAGUUUACCGCUUCGCGUUAAACCGGUCGCAGCUAUUGCGAAUGUUUUCUCGUCGUUGGUUUUGAGCAAAACAUUAAGUGUGUUUUAUAAAAGGGAGCUCUGAUCAAAAGACAAGGACAAAUCAUUUAAAGGCAGUCAGGGGAAACGUUAUUGUUCUGUUACACAAACAAAAUGACUUGAAAUGUCCUGCACUCUUAAAGAUGCUCUGUCUCUCCAUUAUUAUGUUCAUAUUUAUAUAUUAUUUAUUACCUUUUUAAUUUAUUUAUAUGAAUACUUUUACAUUCACUAGCCGACAACCAAUCGAACAACAUCAAACUUCUCUGUUAAAAGCACUUCUGAACUAAAUAUUCUCAAACUUCAAAGCUUCGUUCAGGAGAUAUGCUGUGUACUUGUUAAUGUAUUUAUCUUCCUAUGUUCAUAAAAUCAGGGUAUGAUGUGGGUUUACUGUCAUUUCAGCCUGCUAAACGUUUUAAUAAUGCAUUCCACUGAAACCACAGAUCAUACGUUUUGUGUGAGGUGUACCUUAUUGUCUUUAUUCCCAGUUCAAUGCAACAGUUAAUGCAUUUGAAUGUAUUAAUGUAUACUGUAGGGUACUGUAUUCUUCUGUGGUGGUUAUUAUUGUUUAGAAGCUUAUAGAUCAGGAUACAAGUCUGUUUUAGUCAUGUUUUUUCUGGGUUCUUGUGUACUGGUACUGGGUGCUUUAUGUCUUUUUUUAUUGUAAAAACAUCAAAAAGAAAAUAAAGACAAAAAGAAAAAGUCU